GGCAGCGACGGGCGAGCUGGGGGGGGAGGACGUAGGGUGCUAGCGUUAAUGGGAAUUACUGGGCGGAAAGCGGGCGCAGGCGGUAGUGUACGCCAGAUGGGAGAUCCCCGGGCUCGAGCUGGGAAUGGCAUGUGGGACUGCAAGGCGGGAGGGUGGCAGAGGAGACGGGAAGUCCUGGUGUAGCAGUGAAAUGCGUAGAUAGCAGGAGGAAUACCGAUGGCGAAGGCAGGUCUCUGGGCUGACACUGACGCUCAUGCACGAAAGCGUGGGGAGCAAACAGGAUUAGAUACCCGAGUCGUC
rnacentral:rRNA from 1 species